UACAGAGGUCCCAAGCGUUGUUCGGAUUCACUGGGCGUAAAGGGUGCGUAGGAGGCUGGGAAAGUCGGAUGUGAAAUCUCACCGCUUAACGGUGAAACUGCAUUCGAUACUACUCGGCUAGAGGAUCGGAGGGGAGAGCAGAAUUCUUGGUGUAGCGGUGAAAUGCGCAGAUAUCAGGAGGAACACCGAUGGCGAAGGCAGGUCUCUGGGCAUUAACUGACGCUGAGGAGCGAAAGCAUGGGGAGCGAACAGG
rnacentral:rRNA from 1 species